GACGGAAGGUGCAAGCGUUGCUCGGAAUCACUGGGCGUAAAGGGUGCGUAGGCGGCCGUGCAAGUCUGGCGUGAAAGCCCCGGGCUCAACCUGGGAAUUGCAUCUGUGACUGCAUAGCUAGAGUACGGUAGAGGGGGAUGGAAUUCCGCGUGUAGCAGUGAAAUGCGUAGAUAUGCGGAGGAACACCGAUGGCGAAGGCAAUCCCCUGGACCUGUACUGACGCUCAUGCACGAAAGCGUGGGGAGCAAACAGG
rnacentral:rRNA from 1 species